UGACUCUUGGUGUAAUGGUAACACACUAGUUUUUGGCACUAGUAUUAUAAGUUCAAGUCUUGUAGAGUCAA
rnacentral:tRNA from 1 species